UACGAAGGGGGCUAGCGUUGUUCGGAAUCACUGGGCGUAAAGCGCACGUAGGCGGAUUGUUAAGUCGGGGGUGAAAUCCUGAGGCUCAACCUCAGAACUGCCUUCGAUACUGGCAAUCUCGAGUCCGGAAGAGGUUGGUGGAACAGCUAGUGUAGAGGUGAAAUUCGUAGAUAUUAGCUAGAACACCAGUGGCGAAGGCGGCCACCUGGACUGAUACUGACACUGAGGUGCGAAAGCGUGGGGAGCAAACAGG
rnacentral:rRNA from 1 species